GACGAACGCUGGCGGCGUGCCUAAUACAUGCAAGUCGAGCGGACUGAUUAAGAGCUUGCUCUUAUGACGUUAGCGGCGGACGGGUGAGUAACACGUGGGCAACCUGCCCUGUAGAUCGGGAUAACACCGAGAAAUCGGUGCUAAUACCGGGUAAUAUCUGAGAUCACAUGAUCUUAGGUUAAAAGAUGGCUCCGGCUAUCACUACAGGAUGGGCCCGCGGCGCAUUAGCUAGUUGGUAAGGUAAUGGCUUACCAAGGCGACGAUGCGUAGCCGACCUGAGAGGGUGAUCGGCCACACAGGGACUGAGACACGGCCCAGACUCCUACGGGAGGCAGCAGUAGGGAAUCUUCCGCAAUGGACGAAAGUCUGACGGAGCAACGCCGCGUGAGUGAUGAAGGGUUUCGGCGCGUAAAGCGCUGUUGUUAGGGAAGAAACAGUACCGAACGAACUAGGUCGGUACCUUGACGGUACCUAAACAGAAAGCCACGGCUAACUACGUG
rnacentral:rRNA from 1 species